rnacentral:tRNA from 1 species
GCGGGAGUGGCGGAAUGGCAGACGCGCUGGUCUUAGGAGCCAGUCUUUCGGGGUGUGGGUUCAAGUCCCAUCUCCCGCACCA